UCUUCCCUCUUUCUCCCAAAUUCCAACCUCCACCCCUGGCGAAAUCCUUGACGAGAACGAAUGAUUGUGCUCCAUUUUCUCGCCAGCAAAAUUGAAUCUUCCUCAACCUUCUGCAGUCGUCAACAAACCUUUUUUUCAGCAUCCAUUGGCCAUAUUAGAUAAUUCUCAUGAAUACAUUAUUAAGUUGCAUUCCUUGUACCAUGAUGAUAUAAUUAUUUCAAGGGGCCAGAAAGUACAACAUUGCAAGGAAAGGAAGGGGAAAGAAAAAAGGAUUGCCAGUGCCACAAAUGAUAACAGUACUUCAGAUAAGCAGAAUGCACAACAAGAAAGUAAUAGAAAAUACACAGGACACACAGAUGUUGCAUCAAAAGUGAAACAAAAAAGAGUUUCAUUUAGAACUUUGAGAGGUGCUCACACUGGAGCAGUAAUUGUUGGCAGGGAAGUACCACACAGUUCAUCAUUCUUGACGGCUAGUGACUUGAUGGCUUUAAGGAAUAGGAGGUUUGCUUCAAGAAGAACCAAGAAUGAAGAAACAAAUCAUCAGGCCUGCAGAACAAUUGAAGCUCCAAACAUUUCAACUACACAACAAGAAGCUCUGGAAAUCUUAGCCACACAACAAAGCAUGACAACAACUGAAUCUAAGGAAACUCCUCAAAUGUCAUCAGUUAAAGCUACACAAGAAAGCAUGAUAACAGAGCAUGUCAUCAGUUGAAGCUCUUAUUUGGGGAUAGUUUUUUGUUAUAUGGGUUUAAAAUUUUGUUAAAACUCCACAAAUGUUAGGACUAUAUGAAUAUUGUUGACAUACAACUUUGGUAAUUUUUUGGAAGAUUGUAUGUCAUUUUUGGGUCAUAUUUUGGUUCUUCCAAUAUGGUUACUACUUUGUUUAAUGUCUCCUAGGUAUGCAGAAUAUAUUCUAUUA